AGUAAUUAAAAAUACAAAAACAUUAAAUCUGAUGGACAAUCAAUGUUUUCAGUAAUUAUGACAACAAUAGAUAAAUUUCAGAACUUCAAAUACUUUGGACAUCGUUCAAACUUUGACCAAUACGAACGAGCUGUGUUUCAUAUGAAAGGACGAGCAAUCUAAAGUUACAGAAAUCGAAAGUGACUAAGAAGGAAACGGACAAACAGUGAAAGCGAACGUGAUCCUGACCUAGGACACUCCAGUUUCCUCGGAGAGAUCUGUUCGGUGCGCCAGGUUAAUAGAAAUCUCGAUCGGGUCGGGUCAGGAUGACGGCACAGCCAGCGAAAGUGAAAACGAAACGAAACUCUCAAGUCGGUCGUGGGCGCCAGAUGUAGAUACUUGAUACGGGAUAUCAGUAUAAAGGCAGACAGGCAGAAAAUUUAUAGAGAAUAAUCUUCUACAAGAAAGAAUAUGCUUCUUUCGCGCAAAUUGGCUCAACGAGACUAUUAAACAACCUCAAACCUUUCUCACUAAAGGUUAAUUUGAACGGAUAACCAUUACGCUGUCGAAAUGUUUAUUCAUAACAAUCAAUAUUUGAAGUCGUUGCUAAUAAAGCUUACAAAUGAAUGUAAGAUCAAUAUGUGUUCACUAUCAGUCUGAACAAAGCAUUACUAAACGGAUGGGACAAUUUGAUAAGGAACAAUGCUUAUCGAAAGAGUG